rnacentral:tRNA from 2 species
GCGCGGUUAGCUCAGUGGUAGAGCACCUGCUUCACACGCAGGGGGUCACUGGUUCAAAUCCAGUACCGCGCACCA